ACAUUCUCAAACACUCCACCAUUCCAUAAUCCCAACAAAACCAUCAAAAUUUACCACCUCCUACUUUCUCUCUCUAAUUUUCGGUUAGAGCAAACCCACCACCAUCUUCACAUUUUCAAAAUUUAAACACUAGAGAUUCUUGCAAAUAUGGAGGUUCAUGGAUAUAUCAAAAACACUUGUGAGACUAGAAAAGCUAUUUGGAGCAUUUUUGGUGGAACUAGAAGCCUUAGAUCAUCAAGAUUUUCCUUAUCUUCAUCCUUAAUUCCUAGCAAAAAUUGUCGAGAAACGAACCGCGAACAAGGAAUCGAAUAGAGAUUUGCACGGAACGCAAAUCUGAGAUUAGUGGACGGCUUUGGAAAAAUAUGUUCAAGUGGUUAUCAAGAACGCAAGCUUUUGUGAUGUCAUCCGUUUUCGAUUGUUAUGUUUUGAACUUUGACUAAUGUAGUUAA